AUUGAACGCUGGCGGCAUGCCUUACACAUGCAAGUCGAACGGCAGCACGGAGCUUGCUCUGGUGGCGAGUGGCGAACGGGUGAGUAAUAUAUCGGAACGUACCCAAGAGUGGGGGAUAACGUAGCGAAAGUUACGCUAAUACCGCAUACGAUCUAAGGCUGAAAGCAGGGGACCUUCGGGCCUUGUGCUCCUGGAGCGGCCGAUAUCUGAUUAGCUAGUUGGUGAGGUAAAGGCUCACCAAGGCAUCGAUCAGUAGCUGGUCUGAGAGGACGACCAGCCACACUGGAACUGAGACACGGUCCAGACUCCUACGGGAGGCAGCAGUGGGGAAUUUUGGACAAUGGGGGCAACCCUGAUCCAGCAAUGCCGCGUGAGUGAAGAAGGCCUUCGGGUUGUAAAGCUCUUUUGUCAGGGAAGAAACGGUGAAGGCUAAUAUCCUUUGCUAAUGACGGUACCUGAAGAAUAAGCACCGGCUAACUACGUGCCAGCCGCCGCCGUAA
rnacentral:rRNA from 1 species